rnacentral:rRNA from 1 species
UACGUAGGGUGCGAGCGUUGUCCGGAAUUAUUGGGCGUAAAGAGCUCGUAGGCGGUCUGUCGCGUCGAUCGUGAAAACUUGGGGCUUAACCCUGAGCUUGCGGUCGAUACGGGCAUGACUGGAGUUCGGCAGGGGAGACUGGAACUCCUGGUGUAGCGGUGAAAUGCGCAGAUAUCAGGAGGAACACCGGUGGCGAAGGCGGGUCUCUGGGCAGUAACUGACGCUGAGGAGCGAAAGCGUGGGGAGCGAACAGG